UGACAAAAUUCAACGGCCGCGGUACCCUAACCGUGCGAAGGUAGCAUAAUCACUUGUUCUUUAAAUGGGGACUUGUAUCAACGGCAUCACGAGGGUUAAACUGUCUCCUUUCUCCAAUCAAUGAAACUGAUCUUCCCGUGAAGAAGCGGGAAUUUUUUUAUAAGACGAGAAGACCCCAUGGAGCUUUAAACCCAGUUACACCUCUAUUUUUAUUCCAUUUUAACCCUUAGAACCCUGUACACCCUGGUUUUAGGUUGGGGUGACCGCGGAGCAUAAAUAAGCCUCCACGAUGAACGGGAAUAUUCCCUCACCUAAGAACUACACUUCUAAGAACUAGUACUCUAACAUAAAGUGAUCCGAUUAUUCGAUCAACGAACCAAGUUACCCUGGGGAUAACAGCGCAAUCCACUUCAAGAGCCCCUAUCGACAGGUGGGUUUACGACCUCGAUGUUGGAUCAGGGUAUCCUAGUGGUGCAGCAGCUACUGAAGGUUCGUUUGUUCAACGAUUAAAACCCU
rnacentral:rRNA from 1 species